rnacentral:rRNA from 1 species
GACGAACGCUGGAGGCGUGCUUAACACAUGCAAGUCGAACGAUGAAAUGGAGCUUGCUCCAUGGAUUAGUGGCGAACGGGUGAGUAACACGUGAAUAACCUGCCCUUAAUUUUGGAAUAACCCAGGGAAACCUGGGCUAAUACCGGAUAAGUAAACCUGUGGCAUCACAUGGUUUUGGAAAGUUUUUCGAUUAAGGAUGGAUUCGCGGCCUAUCAGCUUGUUGGCGAGGUAAUGGCGCACCAAGGCGACGACGGGUAGCCGGCCUGAGAGGGUGAGCGGCCACACUGGGACUGAGACACGGCCCAGACUCCUACGGGAGGCAGCAGUGGGGAAUAUUGCGCAAUGGACGAAAGUCUGACGCAGCGACGCCUCGUGAGGGACGAAGGUCUUCGGAUUGUAAACCUCUUUCAGCAGGGACGAAGCGAAAGUGACGGUACCUGCAGAAGAAGCACCGGCUAACUAUGUGCCAGCAGCCGCAGUAA